UAACUCAGUGGUAGAGCACUUGCCUAGUACGCAAGAGGCCCUGAGUUUGAUCCCCAG
rnacentral:tRNA from 1 species